CUACGGGGCGCUGCAGUGGGGAAUAUUGGACAAUGGGCGAAAGCCUGAUCCAGCAAUGCCGCGUGUGUGAAGAAGGCCUGCGGGUUGUAAAGCACUUUCAGUAGGGAAGAUAAUGACGGUACCUACAGAAGAAGCACCGGCUAACUCUGUGCCAGCAGCCGCGGUAAUACAGAGGGUGCAAGCGUUAAUCGGAAUUACUGGGCGUAAAGCGCGCGUAGGCGGUCUGUUAAGUCGGAUGUGAAAGCCCCGGGCUCAACCUGGGAACUGCAUUCGAUACUGGCAGGCUAGAGUAUGGUAGAGGGAAGUGGAAUUCCGGGUGUAGCGGUGAAAUGCGUAGAUAUCCGGAGGAACAUCAGUGGCGAAGGCGGCUUCCUGGACCAAUACUGACGCUGAGGUGCGAAAGCGUGGGGAGCAAACAGGAUUAGAUACCCGGGUAGUC
rnacentral:rRNA from 1 species